rnacentral:rRNA from 1 species
AACGAACGCUGUCGGCGUGCUUAACACAUGCAAGUCGAACGAAGUGGCGAACGGGUGAGUAACGCGUAAUCAACCUGCCCUUCAGAGGGGGACAACAGUUGGAAACGACUGCUAAUACCGCAUACUGAAGGAGGGGAUUGCGUCUGAUUAGCUAGUUGGAGGGGUAACGGCCCACCAGGGCGAUGAUCAGUAGCCGGUCUGAGAGGAUGAACGGCCACAUUGGGACGGAGACACGGCCCAGACUCCGACGGGAGGCAGCAGUUGGGAAGCUUACGCAAGGGACGAAAGUCUGACGGAGCAACGCCGCGUGAGUGAUGACGGCCUUCGGGUUGUAAAGCUCUGUUAAUCGGGACGCGGUACCGGAAUAGAAAGCCACGGCUAACUACGUGCCAGCAGCCGCGGUAAUUC